AAAAAAAUUUUACAAAUAAACUCCAUUCAGUCCUUGAUGCGGGAAAGAUUAUCUUCUAAUGCUAAGAUUGUAGCGCCAUACCAAACAAGGCCUCCUCUGCCGGAAUUCCUCCGCCCUCGAGCUCCUAUGCCUGGGUCUUGCCGUCCUGCUGCCCUGAGAUCUGGUGAGCGCCAUGCUCGUGGGAGCUGCUUGUCAGGACAAAAAGGCGAUGAUGCAGUCCGGCGGAGGGGAGCCGCAGCCCUGCAGACGAGGAGUGCUGUCGACGAGGAAGUUCUUCGUGCCUUCCAGGGGCAGCGAUGGAGGAGAAGAGUGCAGAGAGAUUUUCGGCUAAAAAGACAAAUCAGCCAAACAGGUAGUCGGAGCUUUUUUAGCAAGCUGUUGUUGCGUUGACUUAAGCUUUCAGUAGGUAUGUUUCAUUCCUCUUUGUAAUCAUUGAUUGAUGGAGAAUUUCAGUAUGACAACUCGAUAGCUUGGAGCUUAUUUCAUCUGUAUAAUUCUGAAAUGAUUCUGUCAAAGGAUCAUAUUUGUUGAUGUCUAGCGUGAAAUAUAAUGUCACUUUUAUUCAGUCAA